rnacentral:rRNA from 1 species
GCAGCCGCGGUAAUACGUAGGUGGCAAGCGUUAUCCGGAAUUACUGGGUGUAAAGGGUGAGUAGGCGGGAAGGCAAGUCAGGUGUGAAAUGCAGGGGCUCAACCCCUGAGCUGCACUUGAAACUGCUUUUCUUGAGAGUCGGAGGGGUAAUCGGAAUUCCCAGUGUAGCGGUGAAAUGCGCAGAGAUUGGGAGGAACACCAGUGGCGAAGGCGGAUUACUGGACGACAACUGACGCUGAGACACGAAAGCGUGGGGAGCAAACAGGAUUAGAUACCCC